rnacentral:rRNA from 1 species
GAUGAACGCUGGCGGUAUGCUUAACACAUGCAAGUCGAACGGACUCUUCGGAUUUAGUGGCGGACGGGUGAGUAACGCGUGAGAAUCUGGCUUUGUGUUCGGGACAACCACUGGAAACGGUGGCUAAUACCGGAUGUGCCGAGAGGUAAAAGAGAAAUUGCCUGAAGAUGAGCUCGCGUCUGAUUAGCUAGUUGGUGAGGUAAAGGCUCACCAAGGCAGCGAUCAGUAGCUGGUCUGAGAGGAUGAUCAGCCGCACUGGGACUGAUACACGGCCCAGACUACUACGGGAGGAAGCAGCGGGGAAGUUUCCGAAACGAGCGAAAGAAUGCCGAAGUAAUACCGCGUGAGGGAAGAAGGCUCUUGGGUUGUAAAACUCUUUUCUUAGGGAAGAACAAAAUGACGGUACCUAAGGAAUAAGCAUCGGCUAACUCCGUG